GAUGAACGCUGGCGGCGUGCCUAAUACAUGCAAGUCGAACGAACAGACGCUGCGCUUGCUCCUCUGACGUUAGCGGCGCGCGGGUGAGUCACACGUGUAUCACCUACCUAUAAGACUGGGAUCACUUCGGGACACCGGCGCUAAUACCGGAUAAUCUAUUGCAGCGCAUGGUUCAUUAGUGAGAUACGGUUUUUCUGUCUCUUAUCGCUGGAUCCGCGCCGCAUUAGCUAGUUGUUAAGGUCCAGGCUUACCACGGCAAGGUUGCGUAGCCGACAUGAGAGGGUGAGCGGCCACACUGGGACGGAGACACGGUCCAGUCGCCCACGGGAGCCAGCAGUAGUGAAUCGGCCGGAAUGGGCGAAAGCCUUACGGAGCAACGCCGCGGGAUUGAGGAAGAUCUUCGGAUCGGAAAACUCGGUUAUUAGGGAAUAACAAAUGUGUAAGUAACUAGGCACGUCUGUAAGGUACCUAAGCAGAGAGCCACGGCUAACUUCGGG
rnacentral:rRNA from 1 species